UAUCUUAAAAUCCAGAAUUUUCUUUCUUUUUUAUUAAACUUCCAUAUACAUGUCUAAUGUCUUACUCCCUCUAUUACUUAAUACUCCCUCUGUUCCUUUUUGUUUGAUUGUUUAGAAAAAAAAUAUGUUUCUAAAAGAUUGAUUUUUUAAGUUUUCCAUGUAAUAUUUAUUGGUUAGUAUUGGUGAAUUGUAAUUUUCAAGAAAAAUAGUUAAUUAUCAUUGGUUUAGAGUUAUAGAAAACUGUAAAACAGUAAAAAUAAUACAUUUAUAAUCAACAUUUAAUAUGUGUAUUUUUUCUAAACAAUCAAACAAAAAGGAACAGAGGGAGUACUUGAUUUUUGUAGAAAAAACACACAUAUUAAAAAAAUAUAUUAAAAACUGAUUAUAAAUGUUUUUUUUUUCUUUGACAAAAAAACAAUACACUACUUUUUAAUGAUUUACUUUUUUUUU
rnacentral:sRNA from 1 species